GACUAACGCUAGCGGCGGGCUUAAUACAUGCAAGUCGAACGGCAGCGCCGUUCGUUUUUCUGGGUGUCGAGUGGCGAACGGGUGCGUAACACGUAUGUAACCUACCCUUUACUUUGGAAUAACCUUUAGAAAUGAGGGCUAAUACCCCGUAGUAUCACCGACUGCCAUCUAUUUGUAAUAAAAGUUUUACCGGUGUAGUUUGGGGAUGCGUUCCAUUAGUUAGUUGGUAAGUUAACUGCUUCCAAAGACGAUGAUGGGUACGGGAUCUGAGAGGACUUACCCCCACACUGGUACUGGGACACGUGCCAGACACCUACGGGAGGCAGCAGUAAGGAAUAUUGGGCAAUGGCCUCGAGGCUGACCCAGGCAAGCCGCGUGCAGGAAGGCGGCCUGAUGGAUUGUAAACUGCUGGUAGACGGGAAUAAUAGAGUGUACGCGUACAUUUAUGCAAGUAUCGUAUGAAUAAGCAUCGGCUAACUCCGUG
rnacentral:rRNA from 1 species